GGCUGUCGUCAGCUCGUGUUGUGAAAUGUUGGGUUAAGUCCCGCAACGAGCGCAACCCUUAUCCUUUGUUGCCAGCGAUUCGGUCGGGAACUCAAAGGAGACUGCCAGUGAUAAACUGGAGGAAGGUGGGGAUGACGUCAAGUCAUCAUGGCCCUUACGAGUAGGGCUACACACGUGCUACAAUGGCAUAUACAAAGAGAAGCGACCUCGCGAGAGCAAGCGGACCUCAUAAAGUAUGUCGUAGUCCGGAUUGGAGUCUGCAACUCGACUCCAUGAAGUCGGAAUCGCUAGUAAUCGUGGAUCAGAAUGCCACGGUGAAUACGUUCCCGGGCCUUGUACACACCGCCCGUCACACCAUGGGAGUGGGUUGCAAAAGAAGUAGGUAGCUUAACCUUCGGGAGGGCGCUUACCACUUUGUGAUUCAUGACUGGGGUGAAGUCGUAACAAGGUAACCGUAGGGGAACCUGCGGUUGGAUCACCUCCUUACCUUAAAGAA
rnacentral:rRNA from 2 species